GUUUCGCUCUUCCAUUCCAUCUGUAACGCUCCAUUCUGACGUUUUUUUCUGGGUUCCUUUUCUCCUUCUCUGCACCGUUUCUCUCAAGGGCUUCAAAAUUGACAGAGGUCGAGACAGUGGUGGUGUGAACGAUUCAGCCAUCUUCGCUUUCCAUCAGAGUCGGCCAUGUUUCAGCCCAGACUUUCAGAGUUGUUAUCAAACAUCGGUACGUUUGAGUCCCUUUCUUUACGCUUUCACUGAGGCGUUUAUGGGAACCAUUCUUGCUCGGAAUCUGCCGCUCCAAUAAGCGUAUCAUCCAAUUUGUCUCAAUCAAAUAUGAACCUGAGCGCACCAUUGAAAAGGUUGUUAGAUGUUGCUUGGAAGCCACUGUGGCCAAAACCUUCUAAUGUCAGAUUGCUUAGUUGUUGAGAUAAAGGAAUCAGAGUCUGUACCUGAUGGUACCCCAAUAGAUGGUUCAAGAAUGUAGUUUAAAUGCAUUUGAGGUUUUUGUAUGCUGAUGCAUCCUUACCAGUUUGAAGCUGUUAAGAGUUCUAAUGUUUCUAUUGAUCUGUCAAUUCUUUGAAUGUAUAAUAUCUAGAAAUAAGGUUUUUCUAUUAUUGUGUAUUCUUGAAGUUGUCAAUUAUAAAAAAGACCCUCGGCCGACAUAGGUUUCAGUAUGAAAUCUAUGCUUUUUAGAGAUUGUUACGAUUAAUUAAAUUUAUUCGAAUACCCAUGGUGGAGACUUUGAAUCAGCUUUCUCUCCAAAUUUCUCUUCCCUUUCUCUUCUUCUGCGACUCCCUCCCCGUGCCUAUGAUCCUGGCCUCUGAAUCAGUUUUCAUUUUGAUUGCUGAUUUCCACACAUCAUUUUUUCAGUCUUCAAGGAGAAUGGUGAAGAUGAAGUAAGUUAAAGGAUCAUUUUUUUAGUCUGAAGGAUGUUUUUUCACUUUCUCUGGCGGGAAAGUUGCUCAGGCCUUAGUGGGGUAGCUGCAGAACCAUCACAAAAUCUUCCAUGUUGCUACUGGGAAGGGCCAAGAGUAAUGUUUCUUUUAUUCACUUUAGGUAAUACCAUAUAGGGAGAAGAAAUUAGCUGACAUAUAUGCGUCUGAAAUGCGUAAUAGGAGGCAUGUGCCGAGCAUGUUAGAGUUGAAAGGAAUGUGCUUGCAGAAGUUGUCAGUGAUUUAAUUGUGAAACUGUAUUACUCCAUGUGACCAAAUUAAAUAGCAGGUUCCAUGAUAUUUUUCCUUCUUUCCCUGACUUUUCAAUCCUUUAUUUCAAUGAUGAUCCUAAAUGGUUAGAGCAUAGUGUGUUUCUUAAAGCAUCUCAACCAUUGUUUUUCACUUAUCGGUGUUCAAUAUUUUCCUUCUUUGAGAUACUCACAUGCAAGUUUUACCUCCUUAUUAAUUCGUAUUUUGUUUUUCGGUAGCAGAACAUUAUUGUUCUCCAAACAUAUGCAGUUCUCUCCAGGGCCUUUGACUCAUCUGUUUCAGUUAAAGACCCUCAUUCCUACCAUGGUGUUGACUUAGGAGGAGUUCGUACUAGGGCCUUCUAAAGUUUAUUUCUUUUUCCCCCCAUUGCACUGAUAAAAAAUUGACUCCAAUUGCAGAGCAAAGGUCAGCUGCCAAUCUGAAAAGGUCCUGUAAGUGUUGCUGAAAAUAUAUGGGAAAAAAGGCAUUCGCAGCAUCUAUUGGACUGGGCAUCACUGUGAUGAGGGAUGUGCCUUCUCAUGGUUCAUACUUUUGGACAUAUGAAUACUUGAGAGAGCAUCUCCAUCCAUGUUGUAGAAAAGGCGGUUAAGAAAGUCUGAAUACAAAGGCAUUAUUGAUUGCUUCAAAAUGAGCAUUAGCGCAAUAAGAUACUUUGUGCAAUGGCAGGGUUUAGUGAUGCAUCAUGUUUUAAAUACAGAAUGAAAUUAAGAACAUGGAGAUAGGUCCUUUACCAAAGAAAAUAGAUUUUGAUGUAAAAUUUGAGCUUUUUUGUUUACCAAUUUUGUUGUUUCUGUGUC